AGUGUAAGCGAGGUCAGGCCCUCAAGAGUCUUGGGAUGGCUGAAGAGAAAAGAAUGUGAGAAGUAAAUUAGUGCCUCAAAUUUGCCUACUUCAUCCCCAACAGAGGAGAUCAUGACUAUAUCAAUAAUGGAGCCUGGGCCCAGACAACUGGUUAAGAGAGAGGUCAUUCUGACCUCAGAACAUAGGAGAGAUGGAUAUUGUACACCACAGAGUCCAGGAUGACUAGCAGUGAAGGAUUCAAAUGCCUGGCGAAAUCUCCUAUACAACCGGAGAGACCCAAGUCCCCAAAGACAAGAAGGGAUGAUGAAAUGGCCUCUGCAUGACAUGACUUGCCUAUGAGCCCUCCCAUUGCUAUAAGGAUGGGGAUCUUAGCACAGUGCCUUGUGUGAACAGUAAUGCUAGCCUUGAUUUUACCAUGGCAAGUUUGUUUAGGGAAAAAUUCAACCCACCCAUUGAAAUUCCAACCUCAACCAAAUGAGGGAUGGCUGGGGAUGCAACCACAAAGAUACUGUAUCUUAGGAGGGGAGUUUUUUUUUUUUAUAGAAACUCGUCAGGAUAUUAUUGCUAGGAUGUGUUGUUACUGGGAAAAAAGCUGAUGGAAUACAAAAGAGUAGACAUCCCCACAGGGAUUAUUUGAGGCAAUCAGUGACUAACAUGACCACUUUGCUUUCUCUAUGCAGGUGUCAUCUAUUGUGAUAUAGUGCCAGGAGGUUGCCUUUGCUGUGGCUUUCGACCCUAGAUUUUUAAAUUGUGUGACAAACCCAUCUUUUAUUUAUGUAAAUAAAAUGUCCGUGUUUAUUGGUUAUUGUUA
ensembl:lncRNA novel transcript